ACGCAGUGCUGAUAAAAGCGUCAACGGGGAAUGCACAGCCAAUGUGCGUAUCACGUUUGUCAAAGACUAAUCGGGAACGCAAAUAGAUGCACGAAAUCGUACAUUGACGAUUAAUUAUGGAUGACCCGAUUAACGAGGCAGUCCUUUCGUGUCACGUAACCCAGUGGCUAGAAACGGAACGGUCGUGAAAUCAACUAUCCAAACCAAAUGCUUAAGCAGCGAUUUCCAACAGUUAUCCUGACCAGUUACCGUGUCGGAGGUAAACGCAUUAUUCGCACGAAAGUACACCAGUUGUAGCUCGGAUUUUGCUAUUAGGGAAAAGGAGACUCAACCUGUGUUUGCGCAAUUAUCGAUCGGCUCAACCCUAUUAUACAUUUGUAACGGUGAACUAUCUCUAUCUCUUUCUUCAAUGAUCGGGCAAUUCAUGCUUCGACUCAGCUCAAUCGUUUCGAGACGCAUAAAAAACGUUUCGAAAAAUAAGACGAGCGUCUCUCUUAAUUGACUACCUAGCUCCCAUUUUUAUAUUUUAAGAUCUUUACCAAGCUUUGUCAAUUUACAUAGAUUUUUGACAAUGUAAGCGUGUGUAAGUGAAUUUUUUCUUUUUCUUUUUUGUCUAUUCCCUUCAGUUACUCAUUUUAUAAUUAUUUUGCACCGUAUAAAUAAAUUUUCUGGAAAGAACUCUUAUAUAUGAACGAUCGUGUUUCCUAAAGAAGUGAUUCAAUAUUGUUUACCGGCUCAUUUGAAAAGAACUUGAACCUUGGAACGAAACAUUGUGAACAAGUUUAAUCAAUGAACAAUUCACCAGUUUGUCAACUAAAUUUGGAAUUAUUUAUUAUUAAAGAAUAAAUUUACGGGAAAGUCGUCGGGAAACAAAGCUGCGCAACACAGCAGUAAUUUUAUAUCAAGAAGAAGAAGAAGAAGGAGAAGAAGAAGAGUUUGAAUCAUGCUGGAUGGAAGCUCAAGUUACGUGCAAUCAUUAGCAGCAAACUUUGAAAGAUAAACUCUGGACGUUGAACACGAUCCUCAAUUGAACAAAGAAGUGUCGAACGCUAAGCGCGCUGUAGACAAUGAGAAGAGGCGAGAGUACAAGGUGAUCUCCAAUACGUACAGAACGGCCCGACAAGUGGAUUACGCGGAAAGCGUUCCGCGAAAUUGAGACUUCGCGCGACGUCGGCGUACACGGAACGGCAAUUGGCCGGUUUACGUGAAAAUGGCCUUGGCGAGAGUGCCGGCGCGGCGACGACGGCUCCGUACCGCGUUGUCAUUCCCGGAAAAUCCAGUCACCGCGGUGUGACACGCGUAGGCACCUAAUUACCCCCGUCUUUCGUGCACGGCGCGUUUAAAAGCUGCCUCGUCCCGAACCGAUCGGGACCGCGGCGCGGAAAUUCGGCUCGCGUGCGAGAGAAGUCGUCGACGCUUUCCGCGAACUCGACUGACGUCCCGUAAAUUUCCCAUCGGGUCGCGAGGAUCGCCAUUACUAUGAUAAAACGUCAGUCAAAAGCCACGUUUCCGGGUUCUGGAGACGGUGAAUCAUCAUGAAUCGCGAUCGAAUUGAAUUUAGAGCGAAUGACACGCACAAAGGAAAAAAUUCUUUAACCUGGAGUGUUAAUUCAAUAGUGGAAAAAAAGUGUAAAGCAUUCUGAAAAGUAAAAAAAAAUCGUAAUUUUAUGAAUGAAUGCUCACCGAAGUGCCAAUUCAAGAGUUAAAUUCGGCACAAGGAGGGAAAACGGCGGUCUCUCGCGAAUGUCCAAGGAAAGAUUUUAGCCCGUGCAACCGCAACAUCAAAAAUAGAAGUGAUUACUGGCGCAGAAUCAAAAAUAGCAUGCGCAAAGAGACGCGCUCACAAUCUGUUUUGUUUCAUAAAUGUUAUCCGUAUGGAAGGCCAGCAAGAUUUGCGCUCGGACGCUGAGGUAAAAGCGAAACAGACCUAUAACAUGGACGGAGAAAUAACGGAUCUUCGAGAAGGAGCGAGAGAAAACCGGUUGUGGCGCCCGACCGAAUUUUUAUGCCGUCCAAGAUCCAGCUACAGCGCGUACGUAGUACUUCUUCUGGCACGUCACGCGAAUAAUCCACGCGGUUGCGCGCAUACCGGAGCCAAGGACUCCGCUGUGCCGUGGCAGGCACAGUCGUGCACCGCGUGUAAAGCCGCUCAUUCAUGAACAUCUCUCCCAACGAAUAGGAGUCUCGCUUAGGGAAUCUAGUGAUCGGUGACGUAGAGAAAGGUUCGAAUUCCAGAAUUAUCGCAGACGAGCUAGCAACGUGCCGGCGCAUCUUUUCGUUACCUGACGCACGUGACGAAUGCACGACCUGAUGCGCAGUUGGAAAAUUUCCUCUUAAACAUAUGUAUCGCAUGUCCCAAGCGGUCACACUUUUGUAAUAAUUUAACACAAGAUGAAUAUGUUAGAAAGUAACACAAAUAUCAUGUACAAAAUUUAUGCAAAAAUUGUAAUGUUUUGAUGCAAUUUGGAAAAAAAUUGUGGAGACGUAUUUCUUCAGUCAAAUUAACAUUUGUAAUAUGUCGAUGCGUACAUUUUACUCGUUUAUAUUUAAAAUUUACGCUUUAAAAUUACAUCUUUUUGUUAUUUGUUCAUUUACACAUGGAUUGUAUAUAUUGACACUAAUUGUAAGAAAUAUUAAUUUAACACAAAAUAUUUAAAUAACAUAAUCACAUUAUAUUAAAUUAACAUUCACGGGUAUGUUAAAAAUUCAACACAAAAAUUUUAAUAAGGGCUGUUUUUGUAUAAAUAAAAUACAAAAUGUAUUUUCUAGUGCGUAACUGUAUUUUCUGCACUUCAUGCAAAGAACAUUGGGAGCGUCGUUAAUUCAAAACAAAAUAAAAAAAUCAUUAUAACACUAAAAAAAAGUUUGAUGUUAAUGCUCAAAAACAUCAGCUGAUUGAAUAAUUCGAAUAUAUUUCGAAUUUCAAAAUCAAACGUUAAAUAGUUCGGACUGAAGGUAUUCGAAGUUGUUUGAACUCACUUCACAUCUAAAAGUUCAAAAUUAUUAUAGUUCAACCCUAAAUUUUCUAAAGCAUUAGUGUCUCUUAUAUAAAAAUCUCUUAUAUUAAAUCCUGAUAGUCAAAUUUGUUGCCUCUAUUAUGAGAUGCCGAUUGAUUUUCAAGAAAUCGAACGUCGCGUGUACGACUUCACGUCAUACGCCGAUAUCGUCGUGCACUUUAACAAUUAAUGUAAUAUUUUUUAUGAAGUUUCAUAUAUAUCAUCUUUGUGUGUUAUGGAGAGUGUUACGAAUUUUAAAGUUAAGAAACUAAACAGCGCACGUCCGUGCUGUCUAGUAGAAAGGAAUAGACACAUGGAAAACUGCUCUAUUAUUUUCAAAGCACACUGCGUUUCCAAUCUUCUUUACUGUUCGAAUAUCCAAACAUUAGAAAUCAAUAACUUAUUGAGAGCGACAAUUCUAUAUUAACAACGUAAUAGCUAUCAAAUUAUUGGUCCGCUAGUAGUAUUAAGUUAACCUUGUCGCAUUAAGAAACGAAAGUUGGCUAUUUUGAAGGUCUAUACGGAGUCUUUAACAAUUAAUCAAGAAUUAAUUAUAAUAAAUCGAUAUUACAGGCACGAUCACUGCACUGUCCGAAAUUCGGUUGGAUGCGCUUCUUUUACUUCAAAUUAUUUAAGCAGAUUGGACAUACAAUAUAUUCAAAUCUUUUGUCGGAUCUCUAAAUUCGAAGUAAUGUCAAAAAAUGUCUCUAAAAUUAUUAAAAGUCACUUUUCGAUUAA